GUUAAUGUAGCUUAUUAUUAAAGCAAAGCACUGAAAAUGCUUAGAAGGGUGUUCACACUCCAUAAACA
rnacentral:tRNA from 1 species